UUCCGGGGGUAGUAUGGUUGCAAAGCUGAAACUUAAAGAAAUUGACGGAAGGGCACCACAAGGCGUGGAGCUUGCGGCUUAAUUUGACUCAACACGGGAAAACUCACCCGGUCCGGACACUAUUAGGACUGACAGAUUGAAAGCUCUUUCUCGAUUUGGUGGUUGGUGGUGCAUGGCCGUUCUUAGUUGGUGGAGUGAUUUGUCUGGUUUAUUCCGAUAACGAGCGAGACUCUAGCCUGCUAAAUAGUCGACGAAUCUUCGGGUUCGUAUAACUUCUUAGAGGGAUAAGCGGUGUUUAGCCGCACGAGAUUGAGCGAUAACAGGUCUGUGAUGCCCUUAGAUGUCCGGGGCUGCACGCGUGCUACACUGGUGGAGUCAGCGGGUUUUUCCUAUGCCGAAAGGUAUCGGUAAACCGUUGAACUUCUUCCAUGUCCGGGAUAGGGUAUUGUAAUUAUUACCCUUAAACGAGGAAUGCCUAGUAAGUGUGAGUCAUCAGCUCACGUUGAUUACGUCCCUGCCCUUUGUACACACCGCCCGUCGCUAUCCGGGACUGAACUGAUUCGAGAAGAGUGGGGACUGUGGCUGCGAGGUUUUACCACUUCGCAGUUGCGGAAACCAUUUUUAUCGCAUUGGUUUGAACCGGGUAAAAGUCGUAACAAGGUAGCUGUAGGUGAACCUGCAGCUGGAUCAUCG
rnacentral:ncRNA from 1 species